rnacentral:sRNA from 1 species
UGUCAGACAGAGUAGGUAUCACGAAAUCAGUACAGUUAGGAGAGAAGGAGCGCUCAACCUUCCGAAAGGUAAAUAUAUAUCCUGAUACGUCCGGGCGGACGCUGCUUGCAUGGUACCGCUUGUAGGUGAUGCGGUAUUUCAUGCCCGGUGACGUUAUGUGCCUAUUGUAACCUACCGACAGGCAUACAGGA